rnacentral:rRNA from 1 species
CUCAAAUUUGAAAUCUGGCCCUCGGGUCCGAGUUGUAAUUUGUAGAGGAUGCUUUUGGUGCGGUGCCUUCCGAGUUCCCUGGAACGGGACGCCUUAGAGGGUGAGAGCCCCGUACGGUUGGACGCCUAGCCUCUGUAAAGCUCCUUCGACGAGUCGAGUAGUUUGGGAAUGCUGCUCUAAAUGGGAGGUAUAUUUCUUCUAAAGCUAAAUACUGGCCAGAGACCGAUAGCGCACAAGUAGAGUGAUCGAAAGAUGAAAAGCACUUUGAAAAGAGGGUUAAAUAGCACGUGAAAUUGUUGAAAGGGAAGCGUUUAUCACCAGACUUUUUCUGGGGGGAUCAUCCGGUGUUCUCACCGGUGCACUUCCCCCAGUUGAGGCCAGCAUCGGUUUUCGGAGGGGGAUAAAAGUUUCGGGAAUGUGGCUCCCCCGGGAGUGUUAUAGCCCGUUACAUAAUACCCUUCUGGGGACCGAGGUUCGCGCAUCUGCAAGGAUGCUGGCAUAAUGGUGAUCAACGACCCGUCUUGAAACACGGACCAAGGAGUCGAACAUUUAUGCGAGUGUUUGGGUGUCAAACCCUCACGCGUAAUGAAAGUGAACGGAGGUGAGAGCCCUUACGGGUGCAUCAUCGACCGAUCCUGAUGUCUUCGGAUGGAUUUGAGUAAGAGCAUAACUGUUCGGACCCGAAAGAUGGUGAACUAUGCGUGGAUAGGGUGAAGCCAGGAGAAAUCCUGGUGGAGGCUCGCAGCGGUUCUGACGUGCAAAUCGAUCGUCAAAUCUGCGCAUGGGGGCGAAAGACUAAUCGAACCAUCUAGUAGCUGGUUACCGCCGAAGUUUCCCUCAGGAUAGCAGUGUUGUAUUCAGUUUUAUGAGGUAAAGCGAAUGAUUAGGGACUCGGGGGCGCUAUAUUGCCUUCAUCCAUUCUCAAACUUUAAAUAUGUAAGAAGCCCUUGUCGCUUAAUUGGACGUGGGCAUUCGAAUGUAUCAACACUAGUGGGCCAUUUUUGGUAAGCAGAACUGGCGAUGCGGGAUGAACCGAACGCGAGGUUAAGGUGCCAGAGUAGACGCUCAUCAGACACCACAAAAGGUGUUAGUACAUCUUGACAGCA